CUUAUGCAUAGCAAAAUUUUGUGACGUAUUACAACAAUUCUGACUUCGGAUUUGUAAUCCGCACACUCGAUUUAGUAUAGGACAAAUGAUUUUUGCCCAGUAGCAGACGAAAUGUUUUUUGUUGUUGCGUGGUGACAGUCACUGGGUUCU